UCAUUUUCUUGACUGCACCAGACAGAAAGUCCAGCCCUCUUUCCCUACUCUUUUCCUUGUUCUUUGUUUCUUUCUUCACCUCUUCUUACAUGGCAGCCCUCCCUCUCUCACCAAAACAAAAUAUCCCUCUCUAAAGAAGAAAUUAAAGGGUUAACACUAAAAUUUCAGCUUCAAAUUGUGGGGGGUGUUACCAGUUCCCCAAGUUUAAGCUCCGUCGACUGUAGGCUCUCGAUUCCUCUACUUUCGGGUAAGGGAUAAGUAUAUGGGCAUUUGGUAAGUCAUGAGGUUAUUUUAAAGUAUAUUAUGCAUUAAAAUGUUUUUGAUUAGAGAUAUGACAUAUAAUCAUUAUUCUGACAAAGAUAUGUUUGUGAGUUUUCGAAAACUUAUGUACAUGAUUUAAACAUAUUGAUGCUAUUAUUGAUUCCACGAACAUGAUGUUUAAAGAAAAGAAUGAAAAUGCUAUUGUAAUGAAAUGUUAUGCAAAAUAAGAAAUUUCAUUAUGAUGUAAAGUGUGAAAUGUUUUUGGGUUAUGUCCUCUGGUGAUCUAAACUUGGCUAGUAGGGGUUAAUUACUAGCUUUCCAUGGAAAAAUGUUAUCUGUUUGGUCAUUUAAAGUAGAGGAAAUGGGGCUGCCCAUAACUCUAGGCCAUUUAAAAUAGAGGAAAUGAGGUUGCCCGUAACUCUAAUCUGAAUAAGGCCUUUUCCCCAAUGUAUACGGACUAUGGGGAGGAAUAAAAUCUUGAGGAGAUGUGCCAUCAAGCCUCUCAAAGAGAACAAUAUCAUGCACACGAGGUAACCCAAAUGUGAUGAGGCCUUCUCUGUACAGACUUAUCAGAUAUGGACUAACCAAUAAGUUAUUUAUGAACAGUUAUGUUAUGUUAUUAAUCAUGAGAGAAUUAUUUUGUUUAAAUGCAUUGUGAAAAGUAAAAACUCUCAUGGCAAGAAGAAGUUUUUGAUGAAAAGAAAAGUUGUUCAUUAAAGAUAAAAGUUUCUGAAUUUCUAAUGUGCUAUAAAGAUAAAUCUUUUGAUGAAAGUACAAGUUUAUGUAUAAAAGUUAUCAGAUACCUAUUUUUUACGAAAUGUUAAGUUUUAUAACUAUGAAAGUUAUAAUAUUUUUCGGUAAGAGGUUUAUAAAGAAAGGUUUUCUUAUUGGGUCAAGAUGUUUCUAGUUUAAUACAAAGUUGUCGAUUAUCUGAUUUAAGUUAAAAUGAUUAUUUUGUAAUGAGAAGAAUAUACAUAUGGUGACUUUGUAGGAAAUGAAAAAGUUUAAUCUAAAAGGUUUUGUUAAUAUUAACUUGAUAAGAAAAAGAAGAACAAUUAUUUUCUAUGGAAAGCAUAUAAGUUAUUAUUAUGAAUAGUAUAAAAUACUAUGCAUGAAAAGAUGUUCUCCUAUUUGAAUAUUCAUAGAAUGAAAUGAAUUGUUUUACAUGCAUUCUUAUUAAAUUCUCAUAUAUCUUGCCUUUACUGAGCUGUGUAGCUCCCCCUUCCACUCUUUUAGUCAACAGGUUUUAUUUUGAAGCAGAGGAAGCCUUAGUCAAGUUUUGGAAUGAGCUGGUUUUAGUUUUAUAUGUAUAGAUCCUAAAUUAGCAAUUUGAUGUUUGGAUUUGUAGUAUGGUGUAUUUUAGGAUAUAAUGAAAGUGUGUACCUUAAAGUAUUAAGAGAUGUAUUAUGUGAAAUUUAGAAUUUGAAUAAUCGGUGGAUUGUAUUA